UUGGGCGACCAUACUACGUUGAAAGCACCAGUUCUCGUUCGAUCACCGCAGUUAAGCAACAUUGGGCCCGGUCAGUACUUGCAUGGCUGACCGGAUGUCGCUGCCU
rnacentral:rRNA from 1 species